AAAAGAAAAGAAGAAAAUAAUUGAAAAGUACUUCAAGAAGUUCAUGAUUUACUCUUUAACCCAACCAAUCCAGAAGCUAGUAGGAAUUUCAACAAAGCACAACAACAUCAGGACCCUACUGGUCUUGCAUGCAGCCAAGGAAGGUACUUACAGGUGAUCGUUAUUGUGCCACAUGAACUAAACAGAUCUCGUAGUUAUUUAUCAGUAGCAUCAUCAUCAAAGUUCUUUACAUGAAAGUUUGAUGAUGAUGUUACCGAUAAAGAGCUACGAGAGUGUUUUUAGCCGACGCUGCAAAUUUUCUCAACUCCAGAAUUGCUUCCCUUUGAUCUGAACCUUUCCAAUUUCAGAAUCAUCAUUUUCUGAACACCAAUUGAUACCAAGAAAGAAAAAAAGAAAGAAAGAAAGAAAGAAAGAAAGAAAGAAAGAAAGAAGGAAAGGCCAAAACAGAAUGCUUAUGGAUUACACUGACUGUGUACAUAUAUCUUAAAUUUGCAACAACUGUUCUUAUAACAAUUUUUAUUAAGUAAAAAUUAUAGGAGUUAAGUUAACUAAAAAGAAAUUUCUAGUAGAAUCAAAUUCAGUUUUUUUUUUCUUCACCAUAGCUGAUCUGUUCUGAUCUGUACAUUUUUGAAUUUGACAGUUAGUUUUACUGAACCUAACAAAUUGCUGUAUCGUAUAUAUGCUAGGCACACAGUUAGUUUUACAGAACCUAACAAAUUGCUGUAUCGUAUAUAUGCUUUGCACACAGGUUCUAUUUUCUCCUUUAUUUAUUUUCUAAAUCCUUCUCUUAUUUUCUUAUUUAAUUAUUGAAUUUAUUGGAAUUUAGACUCUUUCAGUUCAAUAAACUUUAAAACUCUUGAGCCUAGGGAUACAAAUAUAUUGUAUGCUUCCAUGUGAAUUUUCUUCUCUUAAUGCUUAUGAGUUAUGACUAAUCUUGCUCACUUAAGGGAUUAUUAUAUUGUUCACAGUAGGGGAAAAAGGAUUUAUCAUCUAAGGAAUUAGGGUUAAAUUAAUUAAAUUAAAGAAAUUGGUUAGCAAUUGCAUAAAACAUGGAUUUAAUGUUACUUAUAAUUAGUUCCUUUCCAUUGCUGGUUUAAUAUAAUAUGACUUGCUGGAAAUGAUCAUAAAUCAAGUAAAACCUCUGCAGAUAACAUGCUGUAUGAUAAAAUGUCUUUUACUUGGACAGCAGAUUCUUCAUAUGAGAUCACAAGCAUAUAACUCUGCUAUCAAUUUUCUUUGCAUAAGAGAUUGAUUAUUACGGAAAAGUUUGGAGCUUGUUCUAUGAAUUAUUUGAGAAUUCCUUGGGCUAAUUCUUUGUAGGGAGACCAGUGUUCUAAAAUUUCAUCUAGUUUUGUUAUUUUUACUUUCAUUGUGCAUCAUACAUAAAAUGGUAUGUUGGUACUUUGAUGUCACAAGUGUUUAUUAUUUUUAUGAUAUUGGCGUAGCUUAGUUUUCUUUGGUGUGUCACAGCUGCAGUCAUUUCUUUUGUAGAAAUCAACUGUUUAGUAACUUGAAAAGUCUCAACCACACAAAAAAGUACAGCAGAAGAAAGUACUAGAAUUUAUUAAGUUACUGAAUUAUUAAGUUACUUGGUACUUGUGGAUUACCUCUUAGUGCAUAGCCCCUUUUUACGUUUAUUAAGUUUCUGAAUUAUUAAGUUAAUGUUAGUCCCCAUUUUUGUUUUUUCAUUAUUAAGGAACUCUUGCCCUCAUAUUCCCUAGUAGUUUUCUUAUCUUCAUUUUAAUGAAUUUAUAUAUUGAAGGACCUUCUCAUUUAAAAACUCUUGUAAUUAACUUCUUGUUGUACAGAUUUUGAAACCAGGUUUUACAAUAAUAGCUGAUCACGAGAUGAAAUGCCUUUUGUUAUUCAUUCGUGGCACACAUAGUAUCAAGGAUACUCUAACAGCUGUUACAGGAAAUGUGAUAGCAGACUGAAGCUGGUGGCAGGAUCUGCUGAAGGAUAUUCUGGACAUGUUGAUGGAAGGUUUAGGGAGGCAAGGAUGAAUCACCCCAAAGGGAUAACGGAAAAAUAAAUUCCAAUGGUGGCUCUGAUUUUUUGGGCAUGCCGCAGUUUAAAGCUCAAGAGGCUGUAGCAAAAGCAUUACAGAGGAAGUGAACCAAUUCUUCACAAUUCUGAUGUCUAGAGCUGUCUACUCCAAUUCUGAUGUGUACAUCUUUGAUGAUCCCCUAAGUGCUCUGGAUGCGCAUGUGGCUAGACAGUGUUUGAUGCCAUUGCUGGAUCUUUGAGUUCAUGCUAUGUGGCAACUGGUUCUUUCUCAAGGACUGCAGUGAAUUUCAGUGCUGGAUGUCAAACAUCAGUAUCAAAUAUUGUGAUGGUCGUUACAGUGUUUGUCUCCCUGGAAUUGUAGCUAUUAGAUCAUAACUAUAUGUAUAGCUUCUUUGUGUCAAUGAUACAAAUUGGAAAUAUUUAAUUAUAUGUUUUUUUUUACUAUACUGCUACCUAUUAAAGCAUAAGCUAACUUAUUUUAAUGACGUGCUUAUUCAAUUACUAUUUUCAUUGCUGAA